rnacentral:rRNA from 1 species
AUUGAACGCUGGCGGCAGGCCUAACACAUGCAAGUCGAGCGGAGCGGCGGACGGGUGAGUAAUACCUAGGAAUCUGCCUGGUAGUGGGGGCUAACGUCAGGAAACGGGCGCUAAUACCACAUACUAUCAGAUGAGCCUAGGUCGGAUUAGCUAGUUGGGGGGGUAAAGGUCAACCAAGGCGACGAUCCGUAACUGGUCUGAGAGGAUGAUCAGCCACACUGGAACUGAGACACGGUCCAGACUCCUACGGGAGGCAGCAGUGGGGAAUUUUGGACAAUGGGCGAAAGCCUGAUCCAGCCAUGCCGCGUGUGUGAAGAAGGUCUUCGGGUUGUAAAGCACUUUAAGUUGGGAGGCGGUACCAACAGAAUAAGCACCGACUAACUUCGUGCCAGCAGCCGCGGUAAUUC